rnacentral:rRNA from 1 species
AGCGAACGCUGGCGGCAGGCUUAACACAUGCAAGUCGAACGGGCACUUCGGUGCUAGUGGCAGACGGGUGAGUAACACGUGGGAACGUACCUUUCGGUUCGGAAUAAUUCAGGGAAACUUGGACUAAUACCGGAUACGCCCUUCGGGGGAAAGAUUUAUCGCCGAUAGAUCGGCCCGCGUCUGAUUAGCUAGUUGGUGAGGUAAUGGCUCACCAAGGCGACGAUCAGUAGCUGGUCUGAGAGGAUGAUCAGCCACAUUGGGACUGAGACACGGCCCAAACUCCUACGGGAGGCAGCAGUGGGGAAUAUUGGACAAUGGGCGCAAGCCUGAUCCAGCCAUGCCGCGUGAGUGAUGAAGGCCUUAGGGUUGUAAAGCUCUUUUGUCCGGGAAGAUAAUGACUGUACCGGAAGAAUACGCCCCGGCUAACUUCGUGCCAGCCGCCGCAGUAAUAC